GGACAAUUGCACAGAGUCAUCAGAGAUCCUGAGUGUUGACUGCACCCUUUCCCUUGCAUCAUGGGAAAGCAAUGCUCAAUGCACAGAGCUGGAAAGGGCCCAAGACCACCGAUUCAUUCUGUGAAGACCAGCGGGCUGCCAGCAGCCUUAAACAACUGUUGAUCACCAACACCAACAAAUUCCAAACAGAUUACCAAAAAAGGACAAGGCCAAAACCCAUUUCUGGGCUAUAAAAACAGAUUCCUCCAACGGCUGUUACGUGCUUUUUCCCAAAUCCCUUCUACAAAGAGGCCUGCACUCAGACACCCUGAUACAAAGGAAAGCAAAAGAACUGAGAGAGAGGAAUGACCUUGGCUGAGGAGCUACAACGCAGGUUUUCUUAAUGCAUCCUCAAGUGGUGGUGGCCAAGUCUUCCUGCUGUUCUGGGGAGGGGACACCAGUGAUGCUCCAGCAGGGCCAGCACUGCCUCCUCACCCAGACCUCGGUACCAAGGAGUGAUGGAUCAAUUAUUCAUCAGCUAAAAGGCACACUUCUAUUACAGCAGAUGUUUCUCCGAAUGUUUGACACUGCCCAUUAACUCACCCUUUAAUUUUAAUUGCUUAACUAAUGGCUAUAGUCAAGGUUAAAUGAGUUUAAAUCUUCCUUCUUUUCUUAUGCUGCUUAAUAAAAAGAUACCAUCUGAUCU
rnacentral:lncRNA from 7 species